GCGCCCGUAGCUCAGUUGGAUAGAGCGCGAGCUUGCGGAGCUCGAGGCCACAGGUUCGAAUCCUGUCGGGCGCACCA
rnacentral:tRNA from 1 species